rnacentral:lncRNA from 1 species
UCUUGAUUUUGUGGGAUUUUUUAAAAUUUUCUCAUCAAUGGAUGCCCUUUGGGUAUUUUUGAGAUUAAUAAUGCUAAUAAUAUGCCCUAAGUAGUUAACAGAAUCUUGUUACUUACAGUAGCUAUAUUUGAAAUGUGAAUUUCUGAAUAGAAUUUUAUAUGAAAUAAGUAAUACUGGAGUUGUUAACCUGUCGUGUCUGAAGUAAUGAGUAAAACUAACCAUAAGCAUAGGUAUCAUUGAAAUGAAAUAAAUAGGAUCUAAAAAUUCAGUUGUGAGAUAAAGAGGUUAUCUUGGGAUACGGAAUCUGUGGAAUAUGGAGCCCUGACUCAUUCUCCAAACAAUACGGAAUUUUGUCUACUAGCAUAACACUUGAGAACAAGAGCUGGGCUAAGCAUAGGAAGCAAUCACUAGUUAAUUCAUAUUUAAAUAAAUUUUUUGAAGUAUGUUUGAACAAUGAGCCAAAAUUUGAGAAAUAUUAGCCACUUUUCUUCAUGAAUAUGGGUGGAUGUCAUUUUCAAAGACGAGAAGAAAAAUUAUUUUGCAUAAAAGAUCAAGCAAAAUCCUUUUAUAUGAAGAAUUCAUUUAAUUAUCCAAUAUAA